rnacentral:rRNA from 1 species
ACACUGUUGGGACCGCCUCUGCUAAAGAGGAGGAAGGAAUGGGCAACGGUAGGUCAGCAUGCCCCGAAUUAUCUGGGCUACACGCGGGCUACAAUGGGUGGGACAAUGGGUAUCGACACCGAAAGGUGAAGGCAAUCUCCUAAACCCAUCCGUAGUUCGGAUUGUGGGCUGCAACUCGCCCACAUGAAGCUGGAAUCUGUAGUAAUCGUGUCUCAAAAUGGCACGGUGAAUAUGUCCCUGCUCCUU